rnacentral:tRNA from 6 species
GGAGAGAUGGCAGAGCGGUUGAAUGCGGCAGUCUCGAAAACUGUUAUACUGGGUAACCGGUAUCGAGAGUUCGAAUCUCUCUCUCUCCG